rnacentral:rRNA from 1 species
GAAUUUUGGGCAAUGGGCGAAAGCCUGACCCAGCAACGCCGCGUGAAGGAUGAAAUCCCUCGGGCUGUAAACUUCGCAAGAACGGGAAGAAUAAGCCGGUGUCAACACCACCGGCGCUGACGGUACCGUUUGUAAGCUCCGUCUAACUCCGUGCCCGCAGCCGCGGUAAUACGGGGGGAGCAAGCGUUGUUCGGAUUUACUGGGCGUAAAGGGCGCGUAGGCGGCCACCGCAAGUCGACUGUGAAAUCUCCGGGCUUAACUCGGAAAGGUCAGCCGAUACUGCGGGGCUAGAGUGCAGAAGGGGCAACUGGAAUUCUCGGUGUAGCGGUGAAAUGCGUAGAUAUCGAGAGGAACACCUGCGGCGAAGGCGGGUUGCUGGGCUGACACUGACGCUGAGGCGCGAAAGCUAGGGGAGCGAACGGG